UAACUGGAGGACUAGUGGUUAGGCCACAGCGUGCUCAUCGCUGGGGCCCGGGUUCAAUUCCUAGCCAGGGGA